rnacentral:rRNA from 1 species
AACGAACGCUGGCGGCAGGCCUAACACAUGCAAGUCGAGCGCGCCCUUCGGGGUGAGCGGCGGACGGGUGAGUAACGCGUGGGAACGUGCCCUUUUCUACGGAAUAGCCUCGGGAAACUGAGAGUAAUACCGUAUACGCCCUUUGGGGGAAAGAUUUAUCGGAAAAGGAUCGGCCCGCGUUGGAUUAGGUAGUUGGUGGGGUAAUGGCCUACCAAGCCGACGAUCCAUAGCUGGGUUGAGAGGAUGAUCAGCCACACUGGGACUGAGACACGGCCCAGACUCCUACGGGAGGCAGCAGUGGGGAAUCUUAGACAAUGGGGGCAACGCUGAUCUAGCCAUGCCGCGUGAGUGAUGAAGGCCUUAGGGUUGUAAAGCUCUUUCAGCUGGGAAGAUAAUGACGGUACCAGCAGAAGAAGCCCCGGCUAACUCCGUG